UACUAAGUAGCCUAAUUAAGGCGUUUACUUUUUAAUUAAAUUAUGAUUCUUCCUUAGUAG
rnacentral:tRNA from 1 species